AUAUGUGUAGGAGUGGAUUUACUGAAGCAGUGGAAACAAGGAAACACUUGUUUUGGUAGAACCAUAAA
rnacentral:sRNA from 10 species